UUUCAACAGUUUGAAAUCGCAUAAAGGGAGGAAGAUUAAGAGCUAUUCAGUAGGAUUUAAGGUCUAAAAAGAACAGUAAGCAGCUAUGAUGUAUUGAUAUACCUGUACCACUGGGGAGCCUACGGUCCGAUAGACAGGCGGGGCAUGCUAGUUCACGCUAGCUGUAGCCCUCCCCAAGAUACCGGCGAGCGAGCGGAAGAGCGACCUGACUGAGGUUUUAUUGAAAAAUAAACAAAGUCAAACUGCUCAAGCUAUGUCCUUUCUUGGUGGUCCUGGGAUAAAGAUAUCACCCACGGAGCAGAACGAGAGGGAAGUCGCCCAUACACAAGCUAACUGAUAGCAGCGGUCCGAUAGCAGCUUCCAGAGAGACUUUUUAAAAUUGAAGAAAGAUAAGGAAUACUUCUAUAAACAUGCCAUCGAUGCCACUGAUCAGAAGGAUCCAUGGAUCCAUGGAUCUCAUUUACAAGCAAAGCGUCGCGGGAAACCUUGAGGGAGAGAGGACACAGGCGGAGCAGAGGAUACACGCGGAGCGGAGGACGAUCGACAGAAAAGCCGAAGUGAAGAAAUAACUAAAAACAUUGUGGAUUGCAAGUACGGGCUGAAAAGCCAAAACUGACAUUUGUUUGAACAAACAGUAAUUAAAAAGUGUAAACCUG